rnacentral:rRNA from 1 species
AGGACGAACGCUGGCGGCGUGCUUAACACAUGCAAGUCGAGCGAGGCCCUUCCUUCGGGAAGGUGACCUAGCGGCGAACGGGUGAGUAACACGUGGGCAACCUGCCCUUAGCUCUGGGAUAAGCCCGAGAAAUCGGGUCUAAUACCGGAUACGACACGGGACGGCAUCAUCACCGUGUGGAAAGAAUUUCGGCUAAGGAUGGGCCCGCGGCCUAUCAGCUUGUUGGUGAGGUAAUAGCUCACCAAGGCGACGAC